rnacentral:rRNA from 1 species
CCCUUAGACGUUCUGGGCCGCACGCGCGCUACACUGACGAAGGCAACGAGCUACUCUUCACCGAAAGGUGUGGGUAAUCUUUUGAAACUUCGUCGUGCUGGGGAUAGAUCCUUGCAAUUUUUGAUCUUAAACGAGGAAUUCCUAGUAAGCGCAAGUCAUCAACUUGCGUUGAUUACGUCCCUGCCCUUUGUACACACCGCCCGUCGCUACUACCGAUUGAAUGGUUUAGUGAGGCCUUCGGAUCCGCGACUCGUUUGUGGAGAAGUUGGACAAACUCAGUCAUUUAGAGGAAGUAAAANUCGUANCA